GGCCGGGUGUGGUGGCUCAUGCCUGUAAUCCUAGCACUUUGGGAGGCCGAGGCAGGCGAAUCAUGAGGUCAGGAGAUCUAGACCAUCCUGGCCAACAUGGUGAAACCCCGUCUCUACU
rnacentral:misc_RNA from 1 species